UGGGGAAUUUUGGACAAUGGGGGCAACCCUGAUCCAGCCAUGCCGCGUGCGGGAAGAAGGCCUUCGGGUUGUAAACCGCUUUUAGCCGGGAAGAAAAGGCGACUCCUAAUACGGGUUGUUUUUGACGGUACCGGCGGAAUAAGCACCGGCUAACUACGUGCCAGCAGCCGCGGUAAUACGUAGGGUGCGAGCGUUAAUCGGAAUUACUGGGCGUAAAGCGUGCGCAGGCGGUUCGUUGUGUCUGUCGUGAAAGCCCCGGGCUUAACCUGGGAAUGGCGAUGGAAACUGGCGAGCUUGAGUGUGGCAGAGGGGGGUGGAACUCCUGGUGUAGCAGUGAAAUGCGUAGAGAUCAGGAAGAACACCGAUGGCGAAGGCAGCCCCCUGGGCUAACACUGACGCUCAGGCACGAAAGCGUGGGGAGCAAACAG
rnacentral:rRNA from 1 species